CCAAACUUUUAUUAUAGAAUAAAUCUAAGAUGAUGGAUGAUGGAUGCGUCACAUAAAAGUUAAUUAAUUUAAUCGCUGUCACUGCUGCUGCUGCUCUCGUGUCCGUCCUCGUGCUUCUUCUUCUUCUCCUUCUUUUUCUUCUUCUCUUCACCGUGGGCGGCGCCCUCGCCGCCGCCGACACCGGGGAUCUUCUGCUUGAUCUUGUCCACCAAGCCCUCCUUGUGUUCGCCCUCCUUGUGUUCCCCGCCGUGAUGCUGCUGCUGAUGGUGAACAUCAGUAGUGCCGACACCGGGGAUCUGCUGCUUGAUCUUGUCCACCAAGCCCUCCUUGUGUUCGCCGCCGUGAUACUGCUGCUGAUGGUGGACAUCAGUAGUGUGGUGGUCCCCACUAUGGUGCUCUCCCUUGUGCUUGUCCUCCUCCUUUUGCCCUCCUCCCAUGUGAAGGGCUUCUCCGAUCUUGUGAAUAACUCCUGACAUUUUCCCUUAAAAUGACUCUGUUCCUCUUCUUUUCUUUUCAAUGAAAAAUAGUUGUUUGCGAUCUUCUUCUGGUUGUUGUUGUUCUUGUUGGGUGAUCUUGGCUUGGUAUUUAUAGGCUCCAAAAGGAGGGACUAGAAUUAGGAUUAGAUUAUAGAUUAUUUUAAUACAUUUUAUGGCAAAUUCUGAUUUGGAAAGAUAAGAUUAUCCUUUUGGUUUUCCUUAUUUACCCUUUUGCACCCAUUACGUGUACGCGUCUUCGUGGGCUUUUUGGGUAUUUCAAUUAUAUCGCCAAUGCUAAAUCGACACGUUGCAUAUCAGCCGCGGUACUGCCGUAUGUAGUUGUCCAGAAAUCGAGUCGAUUCUCGAUCGUACAAUAAUUAAAUAAUAUUUCAUACGAAAUGAGUUUAGAUAUAUUUUGAAAAUUUAUUUUUAAUUUAAUUAUACGUGUUAUAUAUUUGUUAAUCGAAUAGAGGUCCCACGUAACAGAGUGUUUCUCUAAUCUUUCAUUGCUUUUAAUUAAUUUUACCCAAAUAAAAAAAAAAAGGAAAAUUUAGAGAGAGAGAGAGAGAUAGCGAAUUAGAAGUUGAUUGUAAUAUCGACACCUGUCAGACAAUCAAAUAUCGUUAGUUAAAAAUCAGUUGUCCAUAGUCAUGGUCAUAGAUGGCGAAAUUGAUACUUAUUUUAAAAAACAAAACAAAACAAAACGAAACGAAACUAAACUAACAGAUGUUGAAAUGCAGUUCCGUGUUAACAGUCUGUGAUGAAUCUUUAUCUUUGAGUAUACCAUUCAAGAAAUUAUCAUUCAAAAAUUUAUUUAAAGCAGCAGCAAAUCACCUUCUAAUUCCUGAAUCAAAUUAAUUCGAUUUUUUUCGAGUCGAUCAAUUCAUUAGAGAAUUAACGGGCUAAGUUAAAGUUUUGUUAGUUAUUUUUUUUUAUAUUCCUUUAGAUGAUAUGAUUGUCAUUGUCUUUCUUUCUCUGGGCAACAAUAAAUACAAGAUGUGCAAAAGCGUAGUGGAACAUAAUUCGAUUAUGGGUAAAGGGAUCAGUCCGCAUAAUGAGGAUAAAGUUUUUCUCUUUAAAAAAAUUUAACCCAAAGAAAAGGUCGUAGUUUGUAAUAGCCGACACGCAGAUAGAUCACAAAGCAUGGCGGUCCUGAUGGCAAUAACUAACUGAUAUCUUCUGCGAUGAGAGGAGAUCACGUGGUUCUGACACGUAUCGCCCCAUCAACUGAUGUUGUGGCUGCAAUCGCGGCCCAGUCUUUAGAGAGAAGAAAGAUCUGUUAUAACGGGACCUACUUUAGCAUCUAUUUACGACAAAGCCCCUAUUUACUCUACUUAGUAGUAAUAAUAGCAAGUGUCGGGCUUGGAUUCCGUGUUGCUUUAAAUAAAUAUCCGCGUAAAAAGAAAAUGCUUCUUUAAUCCCUUCCUUGUAAUUUUUCGACACGUGGAUGGUUGAAAUUAGCGUGCCGACAUCUUAGGAAUUUUAUCUUGGAGACGGGAACACUGCAGUAGGCAAUGCCAUUUUCUUCGGAUGGUGUGUGGUGACAACGCCUUGGAUUUUGACGUGCAAAGAAUUUAAAUUGAAAAAGAAAAAAAGAAAUUACCAGAAUAAGCAUAGAAGAGAUAUUUUUCUUUUUGUCCUUUUUGGAAUGGAAAAAGAGAUCAAGAGAUUGUUCCAGUAAGUAUUACACAUGUCACAGGCUUAUUCAUGCCCCAUUAUGGCAACUUUUAUGCCUCGCGGUGCCCUCGGUUCCAGCAUAAUAGCUAAGACUUCAAUUUUUCUAACAUAUUUUUGUUACAAAUAUGAACGGAGUAAAUGUAUAACUUUAAUCCUUUGAAUAAAGAAAUGGCGGUUCUCCUGCUCGUUAAUCUCACUUGAAUCCCACCCAGGCAAAAUUUCUUUAUUUUAUUUAACAACAAUUUAAAGAAAGAAACUUUUGCCAGGUUGAAUUUCAAGUGAGAUUCAUUCGUGGGAGAAGUGCCAUUUCUUUAUUCAAAAGAUUAUGGUAAUUACAACUUUCAAUUUCGACAUAAAUUAAAAUUAUAGGCUAUACAAUAAAAUUGCCCUAAAUUAGUCCUAAUCAAUUCAGAUUAUAAAUUUAGGUAUAUUUAUUAUUUUAAUAUAUUAAUGUUCUAUAUAUAUAUAUAUAUAUAUAUAUAUAUGUGUGUGUGUGUGUGUAUNNNNNNNNNNNNNNNNNNNNNNNNNNNNNNNNNNNNNNNNNNNNNNNNNNNNNNNNNNNNNNNNNNNNNNNNNNNNNNNNNNNNNNNNNNNNNNNNNNNNNNNNNNNNACAGCAGAAAAUAUUUGCUAUGGAUAAGGAGACAUGGUCCCACGUCCCACCGUCCCAAUGCAUAUUUUGUAUGUUUCCAUCUUUUCUGAAAUUUUAAUAAAUAAAGUUUUUUGACCACUUGGCCAAAGAACCUUACCCUUACACAACUUUGUGGUUGGAGUCCUGUGAUACAUGUAAGAACUUAUUUUUUUUCUUAAUUAUAAUAUUUUAGAAUAUAAUUAAGUGAAGUAGGUUUUUUUUUUAAAUAUGAGUAAAAUAGAUAUUUUUUAAAUAUUAAAGAGAGUAAAAUUUGAAUAAUAAUAUAUUAAAAUUAAUACAAACUAAUUUUAAUAAUUAUUUAAUUAUAAAUAUCAAUUAUAACAUCAUAUAAUAUCAAUUAUAAUAUCGUACAUCUCAAUUAAUUCAAUAAUAAUAAUAAUAAAUGUUUUUUGGGAUAAGUAAACAGUCGCAUGGCGACAAUAGUGGAUCUGGAUUAGAGUGAAGUGGUCCCAAGAGGCUGAGGCUGUGGCUGUGGAGUUCUAAAAGUCAAAAGCUCCACGCACUUUGUUUCAGUACCAUACACACUGAAAAAAUUUGCAUUUGCAAUGACGAAAACUUUUCACGAAAUCAAAACACCUCUAAACUAUUUUGUUAUCGAUAUUUAAUGGAGGGGUUUCCUACCUUUUUAACACUCGAUUCACGCCUUGACGCAUCUCACAGAAAACCUCAUGAUCCCAUUAAUCUUGCGUAACAUAUCUCAAAGCCAAUGCAAGUGAUCUUGUUGCCUACUUCCCUUUGACGAUUCAAAAUUGUUGAAAAUAAUUCUUUUUUUUUUUAACCUCAAGGAAGUGACAAAAUAUAAAAGAAUAUUUUCUACACAUUAAACAUCUAGAUUUUUUUUUCUUUUCUUUUUAGAGUACUUGCACAAACCGUUUCCAAGAGAGACCUUUUUUUUUUUUUUUUUUUUCCGGGCUUGGUUACUAAUUUGGUGUGAAUACUCUAUGGUGAAAAAGGAAUCACAAAGCUGUAAUCAAUUUUUUUGCAUCAUUUAGUUGUAACUUGAACAUUGGGAGGUUUAUAAAGAAUUAAAUUAAUUAUAAUGCCUCUACUAGGAAAAGUUCAGAGUAGCCCUUCACAACUUUUUAAAGGCUUAAUAAUUUUCGCUUUCUUCCUCUCAUAACAUAACAAAAAAUUAAGAGCUUUACUCGUACACGUCCUAUGGCUAUAUAGUAUUGGGUUCUCUACUUCAAUCGGCUAUCUCAAACCGAAGGUUAUUUGGACACACCAGCAGUCACGUUUGGAAACUCUCAAAUGCUUGGAUUGUAAUUCUUGUGGAUGAGAUCAUCUAAAUCUUGGGCCCAAGCCGGACAAUGGGUGGACAAAGAACCCUAAAAUACAGUAAAGCUUCUAACACCCCACUAAAACUCUUAAGAAAUCCUACCUUUUAUUUUUAUAUCUCUUUCUUUUAGAAAUUAUAGAGAAGACAUAGCAUUUUAAUUAUUUUCCCUGCCAUUGAAAAUAAAUUCUGUAAACAUAUUUUUUCAUAAUAAAAUUAUUGUUAUUAGAUAAUUUAUUUCUUCAUUGUUUCAAAAUUAUUAUAAUUUUAUCAACAAAAUUAGUUAUGUCAUAUAUUAGGAUUAAAAUUAAUUAGGAUCCAUAACUUGUAAAGACAUUUUAGUUUAAUUGAAUUCAUAUUUGUCAUUUUAUGUAAUUUUCAAUAAAAAUACGACUAUGAGUGCAAAAGUGGGAUGACAUAAUAUUAAAAGAGUGUGAAAUAAUCGGUAAUUGAAAUGGAUUGAAAUCAUAAUAGAGUAUGAAAAUCAGAAUAAAUUGUUUACUUUAGUUGUAGAAAUCAAAAUUAAAAUAAACCAUAUUAUCAUUGAUGUAUAUAUGUUUUCUUGUAAUCGAAAUGAAUUCUUAUAAGUUACUAUAAGACCCUUAUGGUGUGUUUACUAAUCAGAAAUCAGAAUGGAGUGGAAUUUGAAUAUAGAAUGGUAGGGGUAUUCGCGGAUCGGAUUUUACGGAUUGGACAUUAAUUCAUAUCCGAUCCAUAAUUUUACGGAUUAUAAAUUCUCAACACAAUCCAAAUCCAAUCUAUAUGUUUGCAGAUCGGAUGCGGAUUUGACUCAAUUCAUAUCCAAUCCACUAUUUGACGGAUUGAUUUUGGAAUUAAAAAUUUUUAAUUUUGUCCAAUCUAUGAGGUAAUUAAAUUUAAAAAUCUAAUAUAAAAAUAAUUUAUUAAAUAAAAAAUUAACGUAAAAAUAAUUUUACUACCAAUUAAAUUCAAAAUUGAACAAGAUUUAAAUAAAUUAAUUAUUUAAAUAAAACUAGAAUAAUUUAUUUAAAAUUUUUAAAUAUAACAUAUCGAAAAAAAAUUCAUUUGUUUAGAUUAAUAUAUGAAAAUUAACUAAAAUUAUGAAUUUAAAUGUUGAAAUUUGAGAGCUUGGAUGUAACAGGAAGAAAUUAAGAAACUUGAAGAACUUGAAAAGAAAGUAACAAAUUAAGCUUAACUACCUCUAAUGGUGAAGUGAAACAGUGAUGGUUUGUGCGUGCAAUGGGGUACAAAUUUGGCAUUAUAUGCCAAAAUAUUUUGUUUGGCUUUAGAAUUUUUAAUGUUUAGGAAGCUAUAUUUGUUUAUUUAAUUACUCAAAUAUUUAAUUAUUUUUUAUUUUAUGUUAUUAUUGAAUAAGAUAUAAUAUUGUGUUAAUUUAGCUAUACUUUAAUUAAUUAAUUAAUUUAUUAGUAAGUAGCAUUGCUACAUUUAUAAGUUUUAUUUUUUAUUAAAUAAAUACUUUUUUUUUUCAGAUUCACGAAUUUUUACGGAUUUACAGAAAUAAAUCCAUAUCUAAUCCAUCGACUGUGGUUUUUUAAAUUUUCAUUCCAAUCCGAUCUACCAAUCCACAAAUUAUAUUUUUACGGAUCGGACGAAUUGAGCGGAUCAAAUUGGGUUCUGAACACCCCUAGAGAAUGAGAAUCAAAAUAAAUUAUUUACUUUAGUUGUGUGAAUCGGAAUUGGAAUAAAUUGUACUGUCAUUGAUGUGUUUACUUUAUCUUGGAAUCAGAAUGAAUAAUUUCAAAUUACUAAACUGACCUUAAUUUUUUAUUGUAAUAAUAAUAGUAGUAGUAGUAGUAAUAGUAGUAAUUUUCUAUUAUUAUUAUUAUUUUCUCUCUCUUUUGUUUUUAUUUUUUUAUUUUUCUCUUCUUCUUCUCUUCCUCUUUUUUUAUUUUUCUCUAAUUCAUCGAUACUUCUUCUUCUUCUUUUUUCUUUCGUUUUUAUUUUUAAUUUUUCCCUUCUUUAUCGUUCCUUCUUCUCCGUCCAUUCUCUAUCUUCAAACUCUUUUUACUUUUUCUCUUAUUCUUCAUUACUUCUUCUCCCUUUUUUUUUUUUUUCUCUUCUUUAUUAAUUCUUCUUCUUCUGCGUCUAUUCUUCAUCUUCAAAUUAUCAAGUGAAAAAUACCCACGGUGCCUUACAAGAAGAAUUGGUUUUGUUUGCUUCAAUUAUUUUUUGUAUUUUGUACUUUUGAUUGUUUCAAAAGAGGAUAAACUUGUAAUAAUGCAAUUUAAGUAGGGAUGUUUUAGACAAUUUUGGGUAUGAGAGUCUAAUUCCCAACCCCCCACUCCCUCGUAGCAGACUCCCAUUCUUCAUUCCUAACUUGGUGUUGGACCUACUAAAAUAAAUCCCAUUCCCCUUCUUAUUUCAAGAAGCAAACACGAUUUUGAUUUCAAUUCCCCAAUCCGAAAGUAAACGCACAAAAAUUGUACCCAUAUGAGAUUGCUUAUCCUCGAGUUUUUAGAUUGAAAAAAAAAAAGGAAAAAAGAAUGGCCCCAUUAGGAAGGGAUUUUAAGUGUUAGAUAAAGCCGGUGUUAACCAUUAGAAGGUCUCCGACCUUCAACUGUAAUAUAUUAAACCCAGAUAAAUUUACAUAUAAAUCACACAAACCAACAUGCCAAUCAAAUAAAUUACAUCAACUAACAACAAUUGACACAUUAAUUUUCAUAAUACAGAGGAUGCAGAAAAUUAAAAUGUUUUAUCUUUUCUCCUUAUUUGUGAAUUGGAAAAUGAAAAUGUUAAACAUACAGAAGAGUGAAACAGGAUGGAUAUAUAUACACACACACACACACACAGCUUUGGAGUUCAAUGUCAUCGUAUUGCUCCAAGAAGAUUGGCGCCAUCAAGCUUUGCACCUUCCAGAUGCUGUUUAAUCAUCACCAUAACACCUUCAGUAGACAUUAAUACAUAAUAGAAACACAAAAUUCACAUGAUCUGAAUGUCUGGUCUAUUUUACUUACCGUAUCUCGAAGAUUUACGUGCCGUAAAUAAGCUCUUUGAAGGUUGGCACCCUUUAAAUUGGCAUUACGUAGCUUUGCACCCUGCCGCAUAAAUGUUCGAAGUUUCAACAAAUUAAAGUCUCCUGAGAAAUACAUGUCACGAAAAAGUAGGGCUGAAACUUGCAUCUAAUGUACAAGAUUCAAUCAGGGGUGCUUGUCCCACAGUGAAAGUGUAUGGGGGAAAGUGCACUUUCACAAACCAAAGGGGCAAGAUGUGAUUAUCACACGAUUACAAAAGGACUGUAGUCAAGAGAGAGAACUGAACAUGCAGCUUGUAUUGAGGCCAUGAAAAUUGAUGAAAAGCAGUAACAAGCAACCAUUUUGAAAACACUUCAUAUGGUCGAAUCAAUAAAUCAAAGCUAAAAUGAUGUUGACGAUCGAUAGCUUUUAGGUGAUAAGAGUCUUGGCACUACAGUUAAAAUUAUUAUCUAGGAGUGCACACAUUAAUAAAAAAAAACACAACCAAUAAGCAUGCACUCUUAAUCAGCAUAUAAAUUAACAAGUUAGUUGCACCUUAUGUUGUUCCACAAACAGAUUGCUCGAACAAUUCACAAUCUUACCUU
rnacentral:lncRNA from 1 species